rnacentral:rRNA from 1 species
CGUACGGGUGAGUAACACGUGGGUGAUCUACCUCUUAUGGGGGAUAUCUCUGGGAAACCGGAGUUAAUACCGCAUAAGCUCGAGAGAGGAAAGGGAGCAAUUCCGCUGAGAGAGGAGCCCGCGGCCGAUUAGCUAGUUGGUGAGGUAACGGCUCACCAAGGCAUAGAUCGGUAGCCGGCCUGAGAGGGCACACGGCCACACUGGCACUGAAACACGGGCCAG